AUACGGCAGGUCCGGGCGUUAUCCGGAUUUAUUGGGUUUAAAGGGAGCGCAGGCGGCCUUUUAAGCGUGACGUGAAAUGUAGGCGCUCAACGUCUGAAUUGCGUCGCGAACUGUUAGGCUUGAGUAGACGGAAUGUCGGCGGAAUUCGUGGUGUAGCGGUGAAAUGCUUAGAUAUCACGAAGAACUCCGAUUGCGAAGGCAGCUGACAGCAGUUUUACUGACGCUCAUGCUCGAAAGUGCGGGUAUCGAACAGGAUUAGAUACCCUGGUAGUCCGCACGGUAAACGAUGGAUGCCCGCUGUUUGCCCUUUUGGUAAGCGGCCAAGCGAAAGCAUUAAGCAUCCCACCUGGGGAGUACGCCGGCAACGGUGAAACUCAAAGGAAUUGACGGGG
rnacentral:rRNA from 1 species